ensembl:snoRNA
AUCCUUUUGUAGUUCACAAUGAUUGGGUGUUCACACGCGUGUGUGAGAUGUGCCACCCACUGUUAGGUUGACAUUAAAAUGUUGCCAUUCCUUUUGGUA